GACGAACGCUGGCGGCGUGCUUAACACAUGCAAGUCGAACGAUGAAGCUAGAGCUUGCUCUGGUGGAUUAGUGGCGAACGGGUGAGUAACACGUGAGUAACCUGCCCCGAACUCUGGGAUAACUGCUGGAAACGGUAGCUAAUACCGGAUAUGACCAAUGAAGGCAUCUUCUGUUGGUGGAAAGAAUUUCGGUUCGGGAUGGACUCGCGGCCUAUCAGCUUGUUGGUGAGGUAACGGCUCACCAAGGCGACGACGGGUAGCCGGCCUGAGAGGGUGAUCGGCCACACUGGGACUGAGACACGGCCCAGACUCCUACGGGAGGCAGCAGUGGGGAAUAUUGCACAAUGGGCGCAAGCCUGAUGCAGCAACGCCGCGUGAGGGACGACGGCCUUCGGGUUGUAAACCUCUUUUAGUAGGGAAGAAGCGAAAGUGACGGUACCUGCAGAAAAAGCACCGGCUAACUACGUGCCAGCCGCCGCCGUAA
rnacentral:rRNA from 1 species